rfam:Rathayibacter sp. VKM Ac-2121 genome assembly, contig: Ga0139026_12
UACGUGCUCCGGGGUCGGUGAGAGUCCGAACCGGCGGUGACAGUCCGCGAGCGGCCGUCCACUUCGGUGGAGGGCUGUUGAUCCGGUGGAAUUCCGGGACCGACGGUGAAAGUCCGGAUGGGAGGCAGCACGAG